rnacentral:rRNA from 1 species
AUUGAACGCUGGCGGCAUGCCUUACACAUGCAAGUCGAACGGCAGCACGGGAGCAAUCCUGGUGGCGAGUGGCGAACGGGUGAGUAAUAUAUCGGAACGUGCCCAGUAGUGGGGGAUAACUGCUCGAAAGAGCAGCUAAUACCGCAUACGACCUGAGGGUGAAAGGGGGGGAUCGCAAGACCUCUCGCUAUUGGAGCGGCCGAUAUCAGAUUAGCUAGUUGGUGGGGUAAAGGCCUACCAAGGCAACGAUCUGUAGUUGGUCUGAGAGGACGACCAGCCACACUGGGACUGGGACACGGCCCAGACUCCUACGGGAGGCAGCAGUGGGGAAGUUUGGACAAUGGGCGCAAGCCUGAUCCAGCAAUGCCGCGUACAGGAAGAAGGCCUUCGGGUUGUAAACUGCUUUUGUCAGGGAAGAAAUCCUCUAGGUUAAUACCCUUGGGGGGAUGACGGUACCUGAAGAAUAAGCACCGGCUAACUACGUGCCAGCCGCCGCAGUAACAC